rnacentral:rRNA from 1 species
AGAGUUUGAUCCUGGCUCAGGAUGAACGCUAGCGACAGGCUUAACACAUGCAAGUCGAGGGGGCGAGCACAGGUAGCAAUACCGGGUGGCGACCGGCGCACGGGUGAGUAACGCGUAUGCAACUUACCUAUCAGAGGGGGAUAACCCGGGCGAAAGUCGGACUAAUACCGCAUGAAGCCAGGGGUCCCGCAUGGGGGAUAUUUGCUAAAG